AGAUUGAACGCUGGCGGCAGGCUUAACACAUGCAAGUCGAGCGGGGAAUGUAGCUUGCUACAUUACCUAGCGGCGGACGGGUGAGUAAUGCUUAGGAAUCUGCCUAUUAGUGGGGGGACAACAUUUCGAAAGGAAUGCUAAUACCGCAUACGCCCUACGGGGGAAAGCAGGGGAUCUUCGGACCUUGCGCUAAUAGAUGAGCCUAAGUCGGAUUAGCUAGUUGGUGGGGUAAAGCCUACCAAGGCGACGAUCUGUAGCGGGUCUGAGAGGAUGAUCCGCCACACUGGGACUGAGACACGGCCCAGACUCCUACGGGAGGCAGCAGUGGGAAUAUGGACAAGUGGGGGAACCUGAUCCAGCCAUGCCGCGUGUGUGAAGAAGGUCCUUUUGGUUGUAAGCUACUUAAGCGAGGAGGAGGCUACUAGAUUAACUACCUAGGAUGUAGGUACGUUACUCG
rnacentral:rRNA from 1 species